UUCUGACCUCGAAUCAGGUGGGACUACCCGCUGAACUUAAGCAUAUCAAUAAGCGGAGGAAAAGAAACUAACAAGGAUUCCCCUAGUAACGGCGAGUGAAGCGGGAUGAGCUCAAAUUUAAAAUCUGGUAGUCUUUGACUGCCCGAGUUGUAAUCUAGAGAAGUGUUUUCUGUGCUGGACUGUGUUCAAGUUUCCUGGAUAUGGAACAUCAUAGAGGGUGAGAAUCCCGUCCUUGACACAGACUUCCAGUGCUAUGUGAUGCACUCUCAACGAGUCGAGUUGUUUGGGAUUGCAGCUCAAAAUGGGAGGUAA
rnacentral:rRNA from 1 species